UUUGAUCAUUUAUUUCUCAUCUAGGCAACAAAAAUGUAUGAAAAACUUUUUUCUCCAUUUCUCUCUUCCUCAUUUUUUCUCUUUUUUUUUUCUUUUUGUUUUUUAGCUAAAGGUAAUAACUUCUUCAUCUUCUUCUUUUUUUUUUUUUUUUGCAAUCGUUUACAGGGGUGACUCUGCUGUCAGUGAUCCAACUUCUUCUAGAGGACGAUCAUGCUUUUGUCGUCAGAUCCACCUCCCUAGUAGGAGCAAUGCAAUUGGGCAUUUUCGUCGUCAACGAUCAAACUUCUUCUAGGGGACGAUCGGGCUUUUGCCAUCAGAUCCACCUCCCUAAUAUGAGCGAUCGGGCAUUUUCGCCAUCAGGGAUCCAACUUCUUUUAAAGGACAAUCAAGCUUUUGACGUUAGAUCCGCCUCCCUAGGAGUGAUCGGGUUGAGAAGUAUAAAUAUCAUUUGGUAUUUGACCUUUUGAUUUGGUCUGGGCACUUGGUGUCCUAUUCGUUUUAGUUUUGUUAUGAAACAGAAGUUUUACUUCUACAGUCGACAUGAAAGAUGAGAACAAAGGUCGUUCGGUUCAUAAAGCUAAUUAAGGUUUGUUCAAUUAGUUAUUAAUGUUGAGAUAUUGUUCUUGUAGGAUCGAUUGAUUUUGGAUGAUUAUCUGCUUCUAAGUUCUUAUAAAAUGAUUUGUACUAUUCAAAAAUGGUUUUUAAUCCUCUGGAGACCACUCUCCAAUACUUUCUUUUUUGUAUCUUAAACAACUAGAUUGAGAUAUUGAGAGAGUUGUUUUUUGGCGACAGAUUAGCGAUUUUCAGGUGAGUUUCAGUUGUGUAUGUUCUGUUUUAGCCGUAGGUUCUUCUAGGAUUCUUCUAGCCUGUGACACAUUUUUAACCGUUUUAGUAUGCAUACUCUCUAUACACCUAAAACUCAUUGUUCCAUUUAUUAUAUUACUUAUUCAAGUAUUGAUUGUGUACUGUGUCAUGUAUCUGAAAAUAUCUACUUAGGAAUACUAGUUGGUAAUAAUCUCAAGUAUGUGAGAUUUACUUUGCGGAUUCUAUGCUUUUCUUAGGUGCACAAUUUACUUGUUUUUGCUCAUUCAAUCUUGUAUGCAAUUUGUUUGAAACAUUAUAAAUAGUAUAAUAUGACUAAUUUUUAUAUUUAACAAAGCGUCUACUCGAGUUUUUGUGUUUUAUAGAUUGGUACGAGUUGUUCGUACUCACAACUUGAAUUGGAUGAAAUACGAGCGGAGUGGGCUGAAUAUUUAGCUCGGUACAUAUGAUAGACACACCUAGAUAUGAUCUUGUUAAUUUUGUAAAUGGCUAACAUAUAGGAAUCUCCAUAAUUUUUCUUUUUUUUUUGUGUAAAUGUUUUGUUAAUAGCCAUUAUGCUUAUGUACAUGAGGCAAUAGAUGUAAAGGGAUAAAAUUUAGCUUUGAUAUACCACACUUGUUUUUUGUUAUAUAACAUAGUUAUUAUUGUUGAUUUUGGAAUAGGCUACAUAUAGGAAACUUUAGUUGACUAUAUUUGAUUAGAAUUGUGUAAUUGUUGAUGAC
rnacentral:lncRNA from 1 species